rnacentral:rRNA from 1 species
AGUGAACGCUGGCGGUAGGCCUAACACAUGCAAGUCGAACGGCAGCACAGUAAGAGCUUGCUCUUACGGGUGGCGAGUGGCGGACGGGUGAGGAAUACAUCGGCAUCUACUUUUUCGUGGGGGAUAACGUAGGGAAACUUACGCUAAUACCGCAUACGACCUACGGGUGAAAGCAGCGGAUCUUCGGACCUUGCGCGAUUGAAUGAGCCGAUGUCGGAUUAGCUAGUUGGCGGGGUAAAGGCCCACCAAGGCGACGAUCCGUAGCUGGUCUGAGAGGAUGAUCAGCCACACUGGAACUGAGACACGGUCCAGACUCCUACGGGAGGCAGCAGUGGGGAAUAUUGGACAAUGGGCGCAAGCCUGAUCCAGCCAUACCGCGUGGGUGAAGAAGGCCUUCGGGUUGUAAAGCCCUUUUGUUGGGAAAGAAAAGCAGCAGGUUAAUACCCCGCUGUUCUGACGGUACCCAAAGAAUAAGCACCGGCUAACUUCGUG